UCGUCGAAGGAAAAUCACAUGUUGAUAGCCGUUGGAUCGCCUUUAGACCCUUCCAUCUCAUCCGAACCCUAAACCUAAAUCUAAACCCUAAACCCUUCCAGACCCUUCGUGUUUUCUCUCUCUCCAUCUCAGAUCCUUCUCCUCUCUCUCUCUCUGUGUUUUUCGGCCUCUCUGUCUCUGUUAGCUUCCAUCUCUGCUGUUCCAUCUUUAUCUCUACCGAUCGUCCCUGCCUCUCUCUUCCCUCUGUCUUAUCUCUCUCUAAACCCUAAAUUCUAAACACUUUGGAUCUCUAUCUUCGAUCCAUCUGAGAAACCCGAAACCCUUGAAAUCGACUCCUUCACAUCGUCUUUCUGAUGGAGAAGAUCAAGACGAAGCACAAACAAACCGUAAGACGAAGCAGAUGAAGCCGAAACUCCUAAACCACACACAAACCCUAAGACGAAGCUUGAGAUUGCUGAAAUCCAUCACGCAUCUUGAAAUCCAGUUGAACAGAGUAAAAGACAAUGAUAAAAAGGAGAUUCUAUAGGCAUGAACAUGGAGAUAGAAAUAGUGACUCUGAUUCUUCUUCAUCUUCUUCAGACUCUGAACUAGAGGCGGAAGCCGCUGAAGAAACAGAGGCAGAGGAUGAUGUUGCAGAAGUUAAAGAAUACCGCCAAUCUCACUCUUCUUUCUCUGGAUACAAGAGUGAGGAUAGCACCUCGGCAAAUGAAGUUGAUGUUGACUCAUCAGAGU